UAUCCCAUUAUUUUUACCUUACCUCUCUCCAUUCUCACAUCUACAAUUUCUUUUACUUUCACUCUAUAGUUAUAAACAAUGAAUCCAAUAGAAGUUCUCCGAAUUCUGGCAAAAACAACCAAUAUCCCCACGAGAACAACCAAAAUUACUUUCUCUCUGACCUCAGCUUCCCUCUGUACCAUGACAGUCACCCAUACCCCGACAAUGCCUUUAUCGGGGCUAGUAGACCCUUAACCCCGCAGGCAUCCCAAAAUUACAACCAGUGAGGAAGUCUAUCGGCCACCAAUGCUCGGUACUCCCCUGGUUCGGACGGAUGCACAUCUCUUCCGGAGGCCGAUCUGACCUUUAUCGUGUACGAGUACGAGCUGUUUGACAUGCACCCAUCUCCUCCGAAGGAGAAUCCCACUUCCUAGCCGAAGGGAAAGGGGAAGAAAAAAUCGAUAGAGACGUUUGCGCCUACGCCCGAGUGGAAGAGGGAGAGAGGAUGAACUAUACCCGCUAGACUCGAUGGCUCAAGCUUGUGUUGGUCGACAUCUCCAAGGACCUGAUUGUGUCCAACCAACAGGCGAGGAGAGGAUUCUGGGGACGUAUUAGGGAUAUAUACGAACAGGUGAUGACCGCAUGGGCAAAGACCCAUACUCCCGACAAGCUCCACAAGCACUGGGAGCAAAUGAAGCUCCAAAUUGCUAGAUAGCAAGGUCUCUACCUAAACAACCUAAGGAUGCAGAGCAGCAGACAGAGCCUGGAGGAUGUCAAAGAGUUGACGAUGCACAAGUAUACGUUCAACGGGUUGGUGGCGAAUGCGCUGAAGAGGUUGCGGCUCAACGUCUCCUGGAGCUACACCAGUAGCGGCGUAGCUGAGCCAAUCGACUCGAGCGAAGCCUAUGAGGAGAUCUACCUACCCCAUGGCGCCCAAUGGCCGUGAAGGUGGUCAAGUGGAAGGGGAAGGCACCAAUGAGCGGUUAGAAGCCCAAUCGCGUCGGGCCGACGAAAAUGAUGACAUGUCGGAUGUUGCAUCUGCGACGCUUACUAAUACGCUGUUGGGCUGUUACUAGUUGCACAGAUCCGAAACCGAUGAGGAAAUCAAGAAGGAGCUCAGAGCUACCAUCAAGAAGAUCCAGAAAAAAUUGGGUCUAAAUGGUGACAACUUUUGAUGUGUUUCUGUGUUGUUUUUCUAUGCUUUCUACUGUGUUUUUAGUUUAUUUUUUUCUUUAUAUUUUUGUUAAAUGUAGCUUGUUUUUAUUUUUUUUAAAUUAUGUAUGUUUUGUUUUUCUA